rnacentral:rRNA from 1 species
AAAACCUGCCGUAUACUGGGGGAUAACACUUAGAAAUAGGUGCUAAUACCGCAUAAGCGCACAGCUUCGCAUGAAGCAGUGUGAAAAACUGAGGUGGUAUACGAUGGUUCCGCGUCUGAUUAGCUAGUUGGUGGAGUAAAAGCCUACCAAGGCAACGAUCAGUAGCCGGCCUGAGAGGGUGAACGGCCACAUUGGGACUGAGACACGGCCCAAACUCCUACGGGAGGCAGCAGUGGGGAAUAUUGCACAAUGGGGGAAACCCUGAUGCAGCGACGCCGCGUGAGUGAAGAAGUAUUUCGGUAUGUAAAGCUCUAUCAGCAGGGAAGAAAUACUGACCAUAGGGUCAGCAGACGGUACUUGACUAAGAAGCCCCGGCUAACUACGUGCCAGCAGCCGCGGUAAUACGUAGGGGGCAAGCGUUAUCCGGAUUUACUGGGUGUAAAGGGAGCGUAGACGGCAGCGCAAGUCUGAAGUGAAAUGCCAGGGCUUAACCCUGGAACUGCUUUGGAAACUGUGCAGCUAGAGUGCAGGAGAGGUAAGUGGAAUUUCUAGUGUAGCGGUGAAAUGCGUAGAUAUUAGGAGGAACACCAGUGGCGAAGGCGGCUUACUGGACUGUAACUGACGUUGAGGCUCGAAAGCGUGGGGAGCAAACAGGAUUAGAUACCCUGGUAGUCCACGCUGUAAACGAUGAUUACUAGGUGUUGGGG